rnacentral:misc_RNA from 1 species
UUUCCGUAGGUGAACCUGCGGAAGGAUCAUUAAUAAAUUUUUUAGGUUGAAAUUGAACCUAAAAUAUAAUAAUCCUACCCUUUGUGAAUUUGUUGUUUGAAAUAAUUUUUAAAAAAUUAUUUAUAGUUUUGUCUAUCCCUGAGUUGUAAGAGAAGUAAUUCUCGAAGACUUAGGAAUAGCUUAUCUAUAAAUAAUGAUUUUAAAGACCUUUUUUAAAUUAAACUUUUGUAUUCAUUUUCUAAAUUUAUUUUUAAUAAUUUAAAAACAACUUUUGACAAUGGAUCUCUUGGUUCUCGCACGAUGAAGAACGCAGCAAAUGCGAUAAGUAAUGUGAAUGCAGAAUACGUGAAUCAUCAAGUCUUCGAACGCAUAUUGCACUUUUUUAGUUUACUAAAAAAGUAUGUCUGUUUGAGUAUCAGUAAAAUAUUCUCAUAAAAAAUUUAUUUUUUAUGGUUUUGUGUUUUACAACGAUACAAGUUGUUUCACUUUAAAUGACUUUAAAUUGCCUAUUAAUUAGUCAAUUUUAAAUGCAUAAAAUUUCCCGUAAAAAGGAAUAACUAUCAAUUUUAAAUUAACUGAUAUUAAAAGGCCUUGAUAAAAGGAAUUUAAUUAAAUAACUGAUCUCAAAUCAGAUAAGAGUACCGCUGAACUUAAGCAUAUCAAUAAGCGGAGGAAAAGAAACUAACAAGGAUUCCCCUAGUAACGGCGAGUGAAGCGGGAAGAGCUCAAAUUUGAAAUCUUCAGGUUUGACCUUGACGAAUUGUAGUUUAAAGAAGUGUUUCGGUUAGAGGAGUGGUAAAAGUUCUUGGAAUAGGACAUAUAGAGGGUGAGAAUCCCGUAUUGACCAUUCUUUCUAGCUUUGUGAUACACUUCAAAGAGUCGGAUUGUUUGGGAAUGCAGUCCAAAAUGGGUGGUAAUUUCAUCUAAAGCUAAUAUUGGCGAGAGACGAUAGCGAACAAGUACCGUGAGGGAAAGAUGAAAAGACUUUGAAAAGAGAGUUAAACAGUACGUGAAAUUGUCAAAAGGGAAGCGUUUGACACCAGUGUUGUUUUUCCGAAAAUCAAUUAAAAAUGGAUUCAUGCAAGUUGUAUUGACCUUAUCAGCUUGCAAUUUGGUUUUGGGUUCUUUUUUGAUGCACUUUUCGGUUAACAAGUCACAUCAAUUUCCUUUGCUGUAAAAGGGCAGAAGGAGGUGGCUUCAAUUUCGGUUGAAGUGUUAUAGCCUUUUGUCUCUGCAGUCGGGGAGAUUGAGUCUGCAGCGUAGAUCCUUCGGGUUAGAUACAUUCGUGCUAAGUUAUAGCCUUCAUAGACAACUUGUUGACUAUGAUCGGUCUGUAAUUUACUCGCGAGUGCUAUUUUACCUACGCUUAGGAUGUUG